GAAGGAUCAUUAUUGAAAUAAACCUGAUGGGUUGCUGCUGGCUCUCUAGGGGGCAUGUGCACACUUGUCAUCUUUAUAUCUAUCCCUGUGCACCUUUUGUAGACCUGAAUAUCUUUUCUGAAUGUGCAAGCAUUCAGGUUUGAGGAUCUGGCAUUGCCUUUCCUUGUAUUUAGGCCUAUGUUUCUUCAUAUACCCCAAUGUAUGUUAUAGAAUGUAAUAUAUGGGCCUUUGUGCCUAUAAACCUUGUACAACUUUCAGCAACGGAUCUCUUGGCUCUCGCAUCGAUGAAGAACGCAGCGAAAUGCGAUAAGUAAUGUGAAUUGCAGAAUUCAGUGAAUCAUCGAAUCUUUGAACGCACCUUGCGCUCCUUGGUAUUCCGAGGAGCAUGCCUGUUUGAGUGUCAUUAAUAUAUCAACCUCUUCAACUUUUGCUUGUUGAGUGUUGGAUGUGGGGGUUCUCUUUUGCUGGUCUCUUUUUUUGAGGUCGGCUCCCCUAAAAUGCAUUAGUGGAACAAUUUGUUGACCGUUCAUUGGUGUGAUAAUUAUCUACGCUAUUGACGUGAAGCAAGUUCAGCUUCUAAUAGUCCAUUGACUUGGACAAUUUUUCAUUAAUGUGACCUCAAAUCAGGUAGGACUACCCGCUGAACUUAA
rnacentral:rRNA from 1 species